rnacentral:rRNA from 1 species
AUUGAACGCUGGCGGCAUGCUUUACACAUGCAAGUCGAGCGGUAACAGGCCGCAAGGUGCUGACGAGUGGCGAACGGGUGAGUAAUGCAUCGGAACGUGCCCAGUCGUGGGGGAUAACGCAGCGAAAGCUGUGCUAAUACCGCGUACGAUCUAUGGAUGAAAGCGGGGGACCGUACGGCCUCGCGCGAUUGGAGCGGCCGAUGUCAGAUUAGGUAGUUGGUGGGGUUAAGGCUCACCAAGCCAACGAUCUGUAGCUGGUCUGAGAGGACGACCAGCCACACUGGGACUGAGACACGGCACAGACUCCUACGGGAGGCAGCAGUGGGGAAUUUUGGACAAUGGGCGCAAGCCUGAUCCAGCAAUGCCGUGUGCAGGAAGAAGGCCUUCGGGUUGUAAACUGCUUUUGUACGGAACGAAAAGGUUUGGGUUAAUACCCUGGGCCGAUGACGGUACCGUAAGAAUAAGCACCGGCUAACUACGUGCCAGCCGCCGCGGUAA